rnacentral:tRNA from 1 species
GGGCAUAUAGCUCAGCUGGUAGAGCGCUACCUCCACACGGUAGAAGUCUCUGGUUCAAUUCCAGAUAUGCCCA